AUAAAUGGCCGAGGCGGGCGGCACACGGGUCUCUUUGUGCACCCGCCCACACGGUUUGCCGUGUUUUCACCCUUCUUUGUUCUCCACCGGUCUGGGCAGGGUCUGAGGACUCCGGAGAGCAAGGCAUGGGUCCGCCUCGUGCCGCAGGUUCCUGGCCCACGCCAGCCGUACCCAGUAGCACAAUGGGAUUUGAGGACACACGCCAGCUGCCUACACCUGAAGAAAGGGCUUUGCUGCUACGCACUGACAAGUUGGACGGCUUUUUAUUGCUUUGUUGCCAGUUAUCUGAACAUGAGAGGCUGUAAGGUGUAAUCUGCGAGCCCUGCGCCCAGACUGAACCAGGGCCUCCCUUGAACAUGAGUAUUAGACAAAUGAAAUAAGAACUUAUCUUGCCCAGACUAUAUAAUGGCUUGGAAAUGCAUAGUUUCCUGAACGAUCUCAAUAAAAUACUUUUAAAAGUACUUAAAUAGAC
rnacentral:lncRNA from 1 species